rnacentral:rRNA from 1 species
AAGCAUAUCAAUAAGCGGAGGAAAAGAAACCAACAGGGAUUGCCCCAGUAACGGCGAGUGAAGCGGCAACAGCUCAAAUUUGAAAUCUGGCCCCAGGCCCGAGUUGUAAUUUGCAGAGGAUGCUUUUGGCGCGGUGCCUUCCGAGUUCCCUGGAACGGGACGCCAUAGAGGGUGAGAGCCCCGUACGGUUGGACACCAAGCCUUUGUAAAGCUCCUUCGACGAGUCGAGUAGUUUGGGAAUGCUGCUCUAAAUGGGAGGUACAUUUCUUCUAAAGCUAAAUAUUGGCCAGAGACCGAUAGCGCACAAGUAGAGUGAUCGAAAGAUGAAAAGCACUUUGAAAAGAGGGUUAAACAGCACGUGAAAUUGUUAAAAGGGAAGCGCUUGUGACCAGACUUGCGUCCGGUGAAUCACCCAGCUCUCGCGGCUGGGGCACUUCGCCGGCACAGGCCAGCAUCAGCUUGCCGUCGGGGACAAAAGCUUCAGGAACGUGGCUCCUCUCGGGGAGUGUUAUAGCCUGUUGCAUAAUACCCUUCGGCGGGCUGAGGUACGCGCUCCGCAAGGAUGCUGGCGUAAUGGUCAUCAGCGACCCGUC